UUCUAAUCAAGGUAAAGUUUAUAAGGAUGUCACCGUCAAGAUUCUGGUUGAGGAUGAAAGGAGAUUUCGUAUGCAAAUGCCCGCUUCUGUUAAAGUCAAAGUUCUGGCUGAUGAUGAAAGGGCGAUUCUAAUACAUGACAGCAAACUGUUAAGAUUGGAGGAUGAACUAAAAUUUUUGCAAGCUCCAAAGAUUAGGGGCAAUCGCAGCUUAAUGAAAGUUGUUGGAUAUUGUCGCAAGGAGAUUGUGGGUGUUGUUUAUGAUCUAAAUCCACUUGACACCUUGCAUAACUUGAUUUUUCAAGAUGACUUCAAUUGGCUGCAGAGGGUCAAGACUGCCAUUGCAUUAGCUCGCUUGCUUGCCUAUCUGCAUGAUAGGAAUCAAUCAUACCUGAUUCGAAACUUGGCUCCAUCCCACAUAGUUGUUGACCAGA
rnacentral:misc_RNA from 1 species